GCUGUCGUGGUGCAAGCUAGCACGCUAUGUGCCGGUAGGUGGCAAACUUACGUAGUAAGAAUCCUCCUUUAGGACUAACGCGUAGAGAUCUGAGUUCGAGUCUCAGCGAUGGCA